CGUUACGGCCCUUCUUGGGCGUUUCCUCCCUAGAACUUCCAGCCGCGGGUUCGCCCGCGGCUUUUUUUUGCGGCGAA
rnacentral:sRNA from 1 species